CACGCNGUAAACGAUGAGUGCUAGGUGUUAGACCCUUUCCGGGGUUUAGUGCCGCAGCUAACGCAUUAAGCACUCCGCCUGGGGAGUACGACCGCAAGGUUGAAACUCAAAGGAAUUGACGGGGGCCCGCACAAGCGGUGGAGCAUGUGGUUUAAUUCGAAGCAACGCGAAGAACCUUACCAGGUCUUGACAUCCCUCUGACCGCUCUAGAGAUAGAGUUUUCCUUCGGGACAGAGGUGACAGGUGGUGCAUGGUUGUCGUCAGCUCGUGUCGUGAGAUGUUGGGUUANNNNNNNNCAACGAGCGCAACCCCUAUUGUUAGUUGCCAUCAUUCAGUUGGGCACUCUAGCGAGACUGCCGGUAAUAAACCGGAGGAAGGUGGGGAUGACGUCAAAUCAUCAUGCCCCUUAUGACCUGGGCUACACACGUGCUACAAUGGCUGGUACAACGAGUCGCAAGCCGGUGACGGCAAGCUAAUCUCUUAAAGCCAGUCUCAGUUCGGAUUGUAGGCUGCAACUCGCCUACAUGAAGUCGGAAUCGCUAGUAAUCGCGGAUCAGCACGCCGCGGUGAAUACGUUCCCGGGCCU
rnacentral:rRNA from 1 species